rnacentral:rRNA from 1 species
UGGGAACGUACCUUUCGGUUCGGAAUAAUUCAGGGAAACUUGGGACUAAUACCGGAUACGCCCUUCGGGGGAAAGAUUUAUCGCCGAUAGAUCGGCCCGCGUCUGAUUAGCUAGUUGGUGAGGUAAUGGCUCACCAAGGCGACGAUCAGUAGCUGGUCUGAGAGGAUGAUCAGCCACAUUGGGACUGAGACACGGCCCAAACUCCUACGGGAGGCAG